GGCCCUAUCGUCUAAUGGUUAGGACUUCGCCCUCUCACGGCGGCAAUCGGGGUUCGAAUCCCCGUAGGGUCACCA
rnacentral:tRNA from 1 species